rnacentral:rRNA from 1 species
GGAUACGGCCAUACUGCGCAGAAAGCACCGCUUCCCAUCCGAACAGCGAGUUAAGCUGCGCCAGGCGGUGUUAGUACUGGGGUGGGCGACCACCCGGGAAUCCACCGUGCCGUAUCCU